rnacentral:rRNA from 1 species
CCUACGGGAGGCUGCAGUAGGGAAUCUUCGUCAAUGGGCGCAAGCCUGAACGAGCAAUGCCGCGUGAACGAGGAAGGUCUUCGGAUCGUAAAGUUCUGUUGAAGGGGAAAAAGAGCGGAGAGAGGAAAUGCUUUCUGAUUGAUAUUACACUUCGAGGAAGUCACGGCUAACUACGUGCCAGCAGCCGCGGUAAUACGGAGGUGUCGAGCGUUAUCCGGAAUAAUGGGGCGUAAAGGGGGCGUAGGCGGCCUGCUAAGUCUGGAGUGAAAGGUACCGGCUCAACCGGGACAGGCCCUCGAGACUGGCGGGAUAGAGAGCAGGAGAGGGCAGUGGAACUCCAUGUGUAGCGGUAAAAUGCGUAGAUAUAUGGAAGAACACCAGUGGCGAAGGCGGCCGCCUGGCCUGUUACUGACGCUGAGGCACGAAAGCGUGGGGAGCAAAUAGGAUUAGAUACCCGAGUAGUC